AAGAAUUGUCCCAAUCAAACGCUAACGAACUGAUUUCUUUAUACUAACUGCAGUAUUGUUAUUUCUUAGAAAUAGCAAUAAAAUUCUAUAAUGAAAAAAAUUCUCAAUGCUCUGAAAUAGUAUAAGUUAAAUUCACUUUUAAUAUGAAUGAAUAAACAUUCUUUUUUCCCCUAAAAUGAGAAUCAAACUUUCAGGUGGCAAGCUGCCAACAACAACUUCGCUCUCUUUUGGCGUUCGCUCGCUCAGUAAAAUGAAUAAGUUCGUGAACGAAUAGCUAUCUCUAUUCCUGGUAUACUUUUAACAAGAGCUCUUUCUAAACUACAAAACAGCCACCGUUCCGUUUUCUAGAAUCAACUGUUCAUUCGCUCACUAAAGUGAAGUGGUUCUUUGAAUCAGUUCUAGCAAGGAUCGUCCAAAUCUAGAACACACUCAUGAUCGUGGUUUAUGUUUAAAUGCUAUUAAGAAAAAUUUGAAUAUAGGUGGUUUCAAGCAAAGAGUGCAACACAGAUAUGGACUGUUCAGAGAAGCAGUGCUGUCUGGAAAAAGAUGGAGCAAGAAAAUGUUCAGCUUUAGCUAAAAAAGGUGCACAGUGCACUGAGCCAGAAAUGGAAUUGCAUCCUGAUCACUGCCAUUGUAAAAGUGGCCUUACUUGCUCGGAAAGUGGUGGAAUGCUGAAAUGCAUGAAAAUGUGAAGAAAAAAAUCUUGGAAAAAGAAUGCAUAUUCUUUAUGUGUCACACUGUUAUUCUACAGAAAAGUUUCUUUAUGAAAAUCAAACUGUAUUUUCAAAAUGAAAUAAAGUCUGUCUAAAGUUGCAUGAGUCA